CAGCUGUUGGUAAAUUCCUUCUGUGCCUCCUCUCAGAGCAGAAGGGGUGGGACAGGGUUGCUGGAGGAGGGCUCAACUUGUUAUUGAGGAAGAGAUCCAGUUGCAGAAGACAGCUGAGUACUAACACAGACAAAAACACAUUUGCUCCUGAUACACCACUGAGGCUCCACUUUUAUUCUGUGCCACAAAUCUACAACCCUCAGAGAAAUGGUGUGAUUGAUCAUCAAUGCCUGCAGGUACGUGGUGCUGAAGAUCCGGGCUGCAGUGAGAGGCGACGUGCAGCCAGAGAAAACAAGCACCACAGCAUGUAGCCAGGCUAAAGGACAAAUGGAUGGCAGGAUGAGCGCUGAUGGGUCAGCCUUGAUUUCCCAACCGACCCAGACAGUCGAUGUCCUGCAGAAGAAAGACUGUGGAUCCUGAAACUAAACCGAGAGCUGGAGGGUAGUGUGGAAGGUCUAUAAUGAGGAGACAAACACAUAAACACACACACACACACACACACUCUAUGUGGUUCUUUCCAAAUGUAAUGAAAUCAUCAGUUCCUCCACAAUCUCGCCACACAAACACAGGCACUACCAUUCAUUAAAAACUCAGACAAAAAGAUUUCAAACUGCAUUGAACUCCCACCUGCUUCCAACUCUCGGUUUCCUUCAUCCAGUGGAGACAGCAGUCCGAGUUGGCAGAGAGAAUGAAAGCCUGAUCACCAAUUCCUCAGCAGAGGAACGGAACAGUCUGGAUAAAUAUUAAAGACUCUGCUGAUAAAGCUGCAUCAAGUCAUGUAUUCGUAGACCUGUUCUUUUUCUCUGUCACUGUAAUCAUUUUCAGUAAAAAAAGAGCAUAGUCCUUG